GGAGAGGUGCUAGAGUGGACGAUUAGGCAGACCUGGAAAGUCUGUAUAGCCGUAAGGUUAUCGAGGGUUCGAAUCCCUCCCUCUCCG
rnacentral:tRNA from 1 species